CUUCUGCUCUUCUGCCCUGUGAGGAUGCAGCAAGAAAACCCUCACCAGAUGCCAGUGCCUUGAUCUUGGACUUCCCAGCCCCCAGAGCUGACUAGAUCGCUAGCUGGCCCUUUGAUUUAACUCUUCAUCUACCAUAUUGUGAAGAAACCAUGGAUUUUAGCAAUGAAAUUUUAUUGGGAUGAAUGACCAAAUGUAGGGGCUUAUAGAAUCAUCAAGCCGGAAAGAACCACAAGAGGUCAACACAGUUCACCUCCUUGCUUCUGGGACGGACUCCAUCAAAAGCGCACAGACAAAUUGGUGUCUGCUUCUAUUCACAGAGGGCUCAAGAAAGUGAUGCCACAUCUACCUGGAGUUGUUGGUCAUGUAAACUCUUCCUAAGCAGAUAGUUCUGGGAAUGACAUAGUCUGAGGAAUCAUAUAUUCUCAUUUGAUAAUUUUCAUAUUAGCCUUGUAUGAGUGUCUGAUUAUCAAAUAAUUGAGAAAUAAAACAUAUUUGAAACUAA
rnacentral:lncRNA from 1 species